UACCAUGCUGAAUAUACCGUUAGAUCACCGAAGUCAAGCAUCAUUGGGCGCGGUGAGUACUUGGGUGGGUGAACACCCUGGGAACACCGC